rnacentral:rRNA from 1 species
CACCUACGGGACGCAGCAGUGGGGAAUAUUGCACAAUGGGGGAAACCCUGAUGCAGCGACGCCGCGUGAGUGAAGAAGUAUUUCGGUAUGUAAAGCUCUAUCAGCAGGGAAGAUAAUGACGGUACCUGACUAAGAAGCCCCGGCUAACUACGUGCCAGCAGCCGCGGUAAUACGUAGGGGGCAAGCGUUAUCCGGAUUUACUGGGUGUAAAGGGAGCGUAGACGGCGAAGAAAGUCUGAAGUGAAAGCCCGGGGCCCAACCCCGGGACUGCUUUGGAAACUGCCAUGCUAGAGUGCUGGAGAGGG